CCUACGGGUGGCAGCAGUGGGGGAUAUUGCACAAUGGGGGGAACCCUGAUGCAGCGACGCCGCGUGGGUGAAGAAGCGCCUCGGCGCGUAAAGCCCUGUCAGCAGGGAAGAAAAUGACGGUACCUGAAGAAGAAGCCCCGGCUAACUACGUGCCAGCAGCCGCGGUAAUACGGAGGGGGCCAGCGUUAUCCGGAUUUACUGGGUGUAAAGGGGGCGCAGACGGCGAUGCAAGCCAGGAGUGAAAGCCCGGGGCCCAACCCCGGGACUGCUCUUGGAACUGCGUGGCUAGAGUGCAGGAGGGGCAGGCGGAAUUCCUGGUGUAGCGGUGAAAUGCGUAGAUAUCAGGAGGAACACCGAUGGCGAAGGCGGCCUGCUAGACUGCAACUGACGUUGAGGCCCGAAAGCGUGGGGAGCAAACAGGAUUAGAUACCCCUGUAGUC
rnacentral:rRNA from 1 species